rnacentral:rRNA from 1 species
GACGGGGGGGGCAAGUGUUCUUCGGAAUGACUGGGCGUAAAGGGCACGUAGGCGGUGAAUCGGGUUGAAAGUGAAAGUCGCCAAAAAGUGGCGGAAUGCUCUCGAAACCAAUUCACUUGAGUGAGACAGAGGAGACUGGAAUUCCUGGUGUAGCGGUGGAAUGCGCAGAUAUCAGGAGGAACACCGGUGGCGAAGGCGGGUCUCUGGGCCAUUACUGACGCUGGAGGAGCGAAAGCGUGGGGAGCGAACAGG